rnacentral:rRNA from 1 species
UACGUAGGGUGCGAGCGUUGUCCGGAAUUACUGGGCGUAAAGCGUGCGCAGGCGGUGAUGUAAGACAGAUGUGAAAUCCCCGGGCUCAACCUGGGAACUGCAUUUGUGACUGCAUCGCUGGAGUGCGGCAGAGGGGGAUGGAAUUCCGCGUGUAGCAGUGAAAUGCGUAGAUAUGCGGAGGAACACCGAUGGCGAAGGCAGCCCCCUGGGCUGAGAUUGACGCUCAGGCACGAAAGCGUGGGGAGCGAACAGG